UUUAACCCUACCUCAUCUCCAUUUUCCCUUUCCUCUGAACCUUGCUUUAAUUUUUUUCCUCUUCCUUCACUUUCUCAACUCCUCUUUUUCACCAAUCCUCGGGAUUUCAUCUGAACUCUCUCUUUUUGUAGACAGCAACUAUUUCUGAGUGAUUCAGUUCAAUUCCCGAGGAUCCCUAGCUAGCUAUUAUUUGCUCUUCCUUUCCACUUUCUAAUUUUCUUGUCCCCAUUAGUCUGGUGCUCGUGUUUCUUUGCUUGUCUUUUAGCUGUUCUUUUUUCCUUUCCUCUUUUUGGUUGGAUUGGACUAUAUUCUUGUAAAGGUUGUUGAUCAAAGGAUUCUUUUGAUCUAGCAUAUAUACACACAUAUAUAUCUCGUGAUUUGUGCAGCAAAAGAG
rnacentral:lncRNA from 1 species